AGCCGUGCGAAAUCUGUUGCAGGAAGUGGAGCAGAGUCGUGGCCAUUAUUGUGGUCUGCCAGGGGGUCCAAGCCUGUCGGUCAAAGUUCGGUUGGAGUCCGAUCUCCGUAGAAGCCCAGAUGGGGAUCAUUUGUCGAGGAGUCUGGCCAAGGCCUGUCUGCAACAGAAAUCCGAAAGGAAUUCAUCCAUAAUGGAAGCUUGGGUG
rnacentral:lncRNA from 1 species